GAAGUGUGUUUAUAUUUUCCUAAAAUCAAGGAAAUCAUUGAAAAGUCUUUAUAUUUAUGGUUGUGAUGUUUAUGUACAAAGCAUAUAUAAUACUCAAUAUAAUAGGGGUUUCACCAGAUGCCAUGGCCAUCUAUAAAAUGCAACUACCAAUGAAAUUUCAUUUUACAUUGGUAAUCCUUGUAUUGCAUGUCAAAUGUUUAUGAAGUCAGAAUAAUGUCAUUAGCAAGUACUUAGUAAUGAAAUUAUUAUACAGCACUUUAAAG
rnacentral:lncRNA from 1 species